rnacentral:rRNA from 2 species
UAGAAUUCCACGUGUAGCAGUGAAAUGCGUAGAGAUGUGGAGGAAUACCGAUGGCGAAGGCAGCCUCCUGGGAUAACACUGACGUUCAUGCUCGAAAGCGUGGGUAGCAAACAGGAUUAGAUACCCUGGUAGUCCACGCCCUAAACGAUGACAAUUAGCUGUUGGGACACUAGAUGUUUUAGUAGCGAAGCUAACGCGUGAAAUUGUCCGCCUGGGGAGUACGGUCGCAAGAUUAAAACUCAAAGGAAUUGACGGGGACCCGCACAAGCGGUGGAUGAUGUGGAUUAAUUCGAUGCAACGCGAAGAACCUUACCUGGUCUUGACAUGUACGGAAUCUCUUAGAGAUAGGAGAGUGCCUUCGGGAGCCGUAACACAGGUGCUGCAUGGCUGUCGUCAGCUCGUGUCGUGAGAUGUUGGGGUUAAGUCCCGCAACGAGCGCAACCCUUGUCAUUAGUUGCCAUCAUUAAGUUGGGCACUCUAAUGAGACUGCCGGUGACAAACCGGAGGAAGGUGGGGAUGACGUCAAGUCCUCAUGGCCCUUAUGACCAGGGCUUCACACGUCAUACAAUGGUCGGUACAGAGGGUAGCGAAGCCGCGAGGUGAAGCCAAUCUCAGAAAGCCGAUCGUAGUCCGGAUUGCACUCUGCAACUCGAGUGCAUGAAGUCGGAAUCGCUAGUAAUUGCAGGUCAGCAUAC